rnacentral:rRNA from 1 species
AUAUGGCGAUGAGCACAACAAUGGACAAUUAUUAGAAGAUAAAAUUGAAAAAAAAAAAAUGGACAAUAAUUAUUAGAAGAUAAAAUUGAAAAGAAAAAAAAAAAGAUUCUGUACAACAUGUUUCAUUUUUACUGC